AGAGUUUGAUCAUGGCUCAGAAUCAACGCUGGCGGCGUGCCUAAUACAUGCAAGUCGAACGCGAAAGUGGAGCAAUCCAUGAGUAGAGUGGCAAACGGGUGAGUAACGCGUGGGUGACCUGCCUUCGAGUGGGGGAUAACGUUCCGAAAGGGACGCUAAUACCGCAUGACAUCCUGCCUUUUAAGAGGUGGAGAUCAAAGCUGGGGAUCGCAAGACCUAGCGCUUGAAGAGGGGCCCGCGUCCGAUUAGCUAGUUGGUGGGGUAACGGCUCACCAAGGCGACGAUCGGUAGCCGGCCUGAGAGGGCGGACGGCCACACUGGGACUGAGACACGGCUCAGACUCCUACGGGAGGCAGCAGUAGGGAAUUGUUCGCAAUGGGCGCAAGCCUGACGACGCAACGCCGCGUGGAGGAUGAAGACCUUCGGGUCGUAAACUCCUUUCGAUCGAGACGAAUGGCCCUUGGGCUAAUCACCAGGGGAAUGACGGUACCGAGAGAAGAAGCCCCGGCUAACUCCGUGCCAGCAGCCGCGGUAAUACGGGGGGGGCAAGCGUUGUUUGGAAUUACUGGGCGUAAAGGGCUCGUAGGCGGCCAACUAAGUCAGACGUGAAAUCCCUCGGCUUAACCGGGGAACUGCGUCUGAUACUGGAUGGCUGGAGGUUGGGAGAGGGAUGCGGAAUUCCAGGUGUAGCGGUGAAAUGCGUAGAUAUCUGGAGGAACACCGGUGGCGAAGGCGGCAUCCUGGACCAACUCUGACGCUGAGGAGCGAAAGCCAGGGGAGCAAACGGGAUUAGAUACCCCAGUAGUCC
rnacentral:rRNA from 1 species